GUUGCUUCGGCGAGCGCUGGGGCUUCGCGCCCCAGCCCCGGCCAUCGGUCGGUGAGCACUCGCCGGAGGCUCGAGCCCAUCCUGUUUACGACAAUGUCCGAGUGUACCGAUGGAAUUUAGCAAAACUUUCAACAACGGAUCUCUUGGUUCUGGCAUCGAUGAAGAACGCAGCGAAAUGCGAUAAGUAAUGUGAAUUGCAGAAUUCAGUGAACCAUCGAAUCUUUGAACGCACAUUGCGCCCCUUGGUAUUCCGGGGGGCAUGCCUGUUCGAGCGUCAUUACAGCCCUCAAGCUCUGCUUGGUAUUGGGUGUUCGCUUUCCCCCUGGGGAACGGCGCGCCCGUAAACCAGUGGCGGUCCAGGGAGACUUCAAGCGCAGUAGAACCUUUCGCUUUCGGAGUGUCGCCUGCGGCCCAGCCGUAAAACCCCCCGUCUUUCAACAAUUGACCUCGGAUCAGGUAGGGAUACCCGCUGAACUUAAGCAUAUCA
rnacentral:rRNA from 1 species